AAUACAUUGACCGCGCCUUCUUUCCCUCCGUCUCCAUGGUGACUCACUUAAUCUGUGCUCCACUGAUCAGGGCUUUAUGUAUCCUCGUCCGCGCGCUUCACUUGGGGUUAAAGCAACUCCGCGUUGACUGAACUAAUUGUUAUCAGCCUUUCUGAAACCGAAUAUUCCGAGUUGGACAGUUCGGGGUUACUCAACCCUGCGUAUCGUUUUUCACUCUGAGUUUUCUAAACCGGCUUCCUGAAACAGGGCCCUGGUGGAGCCAGUUUUUAAGACAGGGAUCCAGGUUUGGUGAGUUGACGCAUGAGAAGUGUCCAUGCGUCAAGAGAUGUCGUGAGGUGCCAUGAUGAGAAGGAGAGACUGAGAGGAUCGUCCACAAGAUGGAAGCUGAGGCCUGGAGGGAGUCUUCAGGAGGAUCGGAGAUCACCUUCAGCACAGAGAGCUGUGCUACUGGGCUUCCAAAGGAUUGUCACAAGGAGACUUUCAGCGUUGGAAAAUGGAACCUGAGGGAGCGUGCCAAGCUCCAAAAAGUGACAGCGCAGAGGAGGUCCAGCGAUGGACUUGUGGUUCUGUGAACAGCACAAAUGCCAGGAGCAGAGCCUGAAGUCUGGAGAUUGGAUGAUGAUAAGGCCAUGGAGAGGAAGUGCUGGUCCAGUCCAUGGUGGGAAGGUCCAUAUCGGAUGCUGCUGACGACGACCACAGUAGUGAAGAUUGCUGGAAGGAACACUUGGAUACAUCAAGCGCACUGCAAGAAGGUGACACACAUCCAGGCCAGCUCGGAGUAAGUGGCAGGAAGACCGGGAACAAAGGGGGGGAAAGCCUCCAGGGCCCCUCGUCUCAAUCCGGUGAAGAAACCAACUGAGCCACAGGUACUCAUCAGAAUGGCUGGGAAUGUGCUGUGCAUCUUCUUGUGCCUGUGGACCCUGAGUGGGAUGACAGGAGCGCAUUGGGACAGAGCAAAUCACACCCAGUACCCGCAUGGGUUUUCAACCAACUACUGGUGGCAGUUUAAGAACACAACCGGAUAGCAUCACUUGGAGCGAGACAGUUUGUUUGGUUGCUUUAGCAACACAUCCAGGAACACUGCCAACUUUUCAACUUUCCAAUUCCUCAUAACCUGAAUGGAAGGUUGAUUCACCAGUAGCUGGGAAGGUGAACUGCUCUGGUGAGACAGACCUGCUCGUCUGACUCAAAGAAUAUGACUUGUUGCAGGACAUUAUACAGUUAAACGAACUGGAAACAGGCCAAUUGCCUAUGUGUACGAAGGACAAUGGAUUAGCCCAAGUUGGAGAUUAACCAUGGAACAUGGUAACAUCACUUAUUCUUUUGUCUUCUGCAAGAAGGAUGUAAACAGAGAAGCCUUUUGUCUACAUUUACAUCAUGAACACUUGAGGUUUUGAGCCAAGAAGAUCAAAACAGCUGGAUCCAAUUUCCUUUACAAAGCUUUUUCUGUGGUGACAACAGGACAGGAGAAGAGUUGUAAAUGCAGAUAAUUCACAAGUUGACUCUAACCCCCACAGGAUGCCUACAGUGAGAAGAUUUGGGGGGUUGAUAGGAGUCAUAAAGAAGGGUGUUGACCAGGCUGCAGCUUUGAAGUUAGCUGAGAGCCACAUGGACAAACAAUAAAGUCAACUGAUGCGUUUAAAUACCUAUGUCUGUAUACAGGUGGAUUGUAGUGACAUAUGAUUUUUGAGAAUGAUGAUUCUUCUUGUUUGACCUUUGACAUUCAGUUGUUUACUUGAAGAAAUACAUAAUGAAUUGCACGACAGGAGUAGAUCCGCCACAAGGCUGGAUAGCUUGGUUACUGUCUGGUCCUUGGUGGCAUCUUCUUUUGAAGAUAUUAAUUCCUGUUUUUGAACUGUUGAUACUGAUUUGCUUAUGUAUAGGAUGUAGUUUACUGUGCAUGAAUGAAAUCUACACUGACACUGUCUAAACAAAGGGUGCAUAAGUUGAAAUUUAAGAACAAUGACAAAAAGGAGGGAAAUGUUAAGUCUAAUUGUUGAAUGUUGCCAUUGUGUUUCUUAAAUUUGUACAGUCUUAGUUUAAGCAGUAGGAUCAAAGCCAUUCCUUUGAUCCUGACCACCUCUCCAGCCACUCUGUGCUGGGGGAGGUUUUAUUGUAGAUACAUCCUAACUUGAAGAUCUGUUUGAUGUUUGGUAGAGCUUCCUACCCUUUGUAUGGUUUCACUGUGUUAUCUUUGGUAAACCAUACAUUGGGUGUGGGGGAAGACUACCCUCUUUAUGACCAAGGAUGUUGUUCCUGCUUUUAGGUUUUAUGACCCUUUGAUCAAACACACACACACACACACACACACACACACAUUCUCACAUAACACCCACACACACACACUUACAUACAGUGCCUUGUCUUUGUAACCAAAGGGGGUUGCAAGGGGAGGUGUUUUGUAAACUAUUGUUUGAAGUUUGUCAAUAAAAGGCGGCGAGAGGAGGCCACCAGCGUGGUCAUUUCAACGUGCUGGUCACAGACGAGAGGCCUCCCUUGCGCAAGAAAUCGAUCGAACACUGUUGCCUUGCUUUUCUUUCAUGGGAAUAAGUCCUGGAUACAGCGGGGUCUGAGUUUAGACCCAACAGUUUUCUUUUGUUUUUUUUAAGGAAAUCUAAAAAAUUAAAACCAGAAUAAAUAUCAGUCUGUCAUCAACCUUUUCUUCCAUUUUUCUGAAUGAUUCACAGAUGUGUUAAAGCAUAGCAUGCCCACCCUCUUAUGGUUACUUACAGUAUAAACAGCAUCACAUAAGUCAGUGAUUCUUAACCAUGGGGCUGCGAGCCACACCUUAAGAGCCGCAAAAUACUUUUGGUUAUUGUUCCCUGUCCAUGACAAUCUCAGUCUCAAUACAGCUUCACACCAUUUGGUGGGAGUUGUUUAAACAGCCUCAAAAAGCAAGAAGAAGAAGACAGUCUGCCUGCUGUUUGCAGUUAGCAAAAUAUAUGGAGAAGUUCUUAAAAUGCAAAAAGGAAGAUAAAGGUGACAACCCCCUCCCAAAAGUCUUUUGACUUUUGGGAGGGGGUUGUACUUUUGUGCAAGUACAGCUUUGACUUCCUGAAGCAUGCGGUUUGUGAACAGAGGAAAUGAGGCGGACCCGAGAGCCCAAUGUGUGGAGUAAUGCUAUACAUUGAAGCACUGAAUUGAUUUGGCCUGCCACUGUAUAUAUGUGCCAUGAGAUCAUCGGAGGGGCUGCUGCAAAGAACACUCAAACGACACUGCGAGCCACCGUAUCAUGGACAUGACCUUAGACAUACAGCAUCAGCUUCUAGAAAGAAUAAAAAUACUAUCUUUGUCUCUUUACAACUAGAUCAGUCCCUUUUUUCUCUUUCGUUGUAGUAAAAUUGAAUUAUUAAUUAUUUUUGUGUUAUUAACCUUGACUUGAGCCUUUCAAUUUCUACUUGCAGUUUGAUUUGUUUCAUGAAUUGUUGACCUGUUUGGCAUUUUGUUUUAUUUCCAGGUUCACAUACAUGUAAUAAAUAAAUGUCUUAUUACAUUGUAUAAUGUCGUCAUCAUCAUGUUUAUUUGGCAAGGUUUUAGCUUUUAAGAUCAGGUGGAAUUGAUUUAUUUAUUAAAUAUAAAUCAAACCAAAAGCAAAAUUAAUUUAUUCAAUACAGUGUUAAUAUGUGAAUGGGCCCUGGUCCACUUUGUAGUGAAAACGUCAGGCCCUGAGAUAAAAACAAAACAAAAAAAACAAAAUGUAAGAACCCCUGACAUAAGUGAUAAUGGCUAAUUUAAGCAAAAAGCGUCUUCCUCGUUUUCCACAGUAACAAGGUGGACAUAGUAAUGAGCAGGUCGAUCAUUGAUGUGAUAGGCCCAUUUUGUGUGUAUUUUUAAUUUAUUCAAAGUAUGAGAGGUGGUGGAUUUGAUCUAGAAAACCUGUUUAGUUUGAAAUAUUAGUGAGGACUCACUUGACCGUAGUCUUACAACCGACUGCCCACGGCUGUUGCAUUUGACAGAGUAAUGCGGCUGCUUCACUUAGGCUACUAGCAGGUUAUUGAGUAGACAUCUGUGUAGCGGUUUGAAAUGUACCACUUUUUCCUUGUCAGGAAAUAACUUCCUGUUCAUCUGAAAUGGCUUGGUUUUCAGUGGAGAGUGUUUCAGUAAUAAUAUUCUUUAUGGCACCUCAUAGCAUUUUUGACCCAUGACAGAGAUGUAUUAAAAUAAAAUGAAAAAAAAAAUGUAAUUUCAAAUCAAACUUAACUUGAACAAUAAACUUAUUGCCAUACAUUUUACAUUUGGUAAGUGGUCAGUAAGAAUGCGAUACAUUGCUCAUUUUGUAUAUCAGUUUGUUCAUUUUGCUCAUUUUGUUAUAAUGGUUCCUAAUUCCUGCUAAACACUUUCACUCUGACAGAAGCUAGAAUACUCUCUGACAUGAAAGUCAUAAUGAACAAAGUCAAGC
ensembl:lncRNA